CAUUCGCCCGUGAGAUUGAUUCUUGUUUUUUUUUUUUUUUUUUUUUUUAGCUGCCGCGAAGUUGUGGGUUAUGGUUGCAAAUAGCAGCCAUUAAAUGUGUAUUUACUUAGUAAAACCGUUAUAGAUUCAUUUCUGUUAUAUCAACGUUCGUUUGCAUGCAUAGGCCAUCAUUUUUCUUUUCAUUAUAGAAUCAAGCGAACUUUGGAAUCAACAUUCUAAAGCCGAAUGAAUGCUCUUGUCAAGGUCAUCUUCCGCGGAACGGCUUGUGUAUUAUUAAGAUGCUGCAUUCUGUGAACAGUAGUGGUCUGUCUUGAGACCGAAAACUGAAGCACACCAGCAUUUCAUCAGUUCUUCUUAAACGCAUGAUUUGUGAUCCACGCGUGCAGCAAGGUGGCACGUGGCCAUGUUGCCAUGAGAGACAAAGCAUCAGGGGUAUGUGUCAGAGCCUUUCCUGGAAGGAUUGAUUGACCUCAGUGUUUGAGAGAGAUGGAGAGAGUGAUGCUGUCCGUGAUCUCCUUCAGGCCCACCACAGAGCAACAGACUGGCCCACGUUGAACUACUGAAUUUGUGGAAUUGAACAGAGGCUGAGCGAGAGUGGGAGGCUUUUGUCCGCGUUUCUGAGCCCCGGAUUGUCAAAAAAAAGCCCUUUGAGAGACGCGGCACGGUCCUCCUAUCUGCGACGGAAGCGCGGGCUGAGGGAUGAGACUCAGCCAGAGGGAACCGGCUAGCAAUUCAGCAGGGAAGAGAAUCAAGUUGAGUCACGAAACGGAAUGGAAAAGCUCCUGCUGCAACAGUAAUUUGCACUUUUCUGUGACAUGGAAUCCCCGCGCUUAACAUGUAUCUCAGAUAAUCUGUGCCGGCCAUGACAGGGCUGGAGAUGCCCCUGCCCAUCGGUGGGAGAGCAUUAAGCUGUCCUUUCAUUUGUCUGUGGACUUUGAUCAGAUGACUUAACUCUUUUACACAGGCUGUGUUUAAGGUCCAGUCAGGACCUUAGUAGCAGUCAGGCCCUCCAGGCUUUACUGGAGAACAGUUAUUUCCUGAACAUUAGAUAAAUGUGUAACCAAUGGCAGGAAACAGGCAAGUGUGACGCAAAUGAGUUCUUAUUUCCACUUGCCACAGUCAGAAAGAAUCCCGAAGCAAGCAGACUGCCACCUUCGCAACACAACUCCUUUGUAUCAGCAAAUGAAAUAGAGACAGACCGAUUUGCACCCGCUGUGAAUCUUCACAAAAGGCUGUCCAUUCAGUUGCCGGUGAUGGAGGAUGCAGGCAUUCUCCUGCUGUGUCUGUGUGCCUUCUGCAUUAGCUGCAGCCUGGGCGCUAAAGAGAAGCUAAUUGGGAUGCACUCUGCAGAAUGUGUCAUAGUGUGUCAUGUUCACGAGCUGACGCAGCGUUUAAAAGAAAAUGUGUAACUAUGGUGUUUUGGUGAUGAGACAUCAAAAUUAGUGGCACAAGCUAUGUUUGAAAGCAAUGUUUUGGUGUGAAUGCCCUAUUUUUAACAAUUAAGGCAUCUUUUAGCUGUACAUGCAGGGCAUUGAUAAUUUCAUGAAUUUAUCAUCAGGGUUACAACGUGCAUUAAAUUGCUGCAGAACAUAUUAUUUUGUUAAGUUUCCAUGUUGUUUCUUGCUUAAUGUAUUGAUUUUGCUGAAUUAUUAUAACCACAAGAAACUGCUUUCCAUGGGUAUGUAAUACAAAUGCACUCACGUAUGUCAUCCCUCUGAUGUUGUUCUUCCAGUGUAAUUAUCAUCAUCAGCUUUCUGUUUGAUGUAUUAAAAAAGAUUGAAUAGAACAUGUGAUCACUCCACUGUGAAAGUGUUUAUGUGGAGAGAAUGUUGUUGCUGCUGAAACUCACCAAUUGAUGUUUCUACAGUAAAUUGUUACAAAGUAAUGAGCAAAAAACUGUUUUGCAUCUACGAGGGAAAAUCGCAACAUAUUCAUUAUGUAUGCUCUUGGGCAUAUAUACAAAUCUUUAAAAAAAAUUCCAGACCUCAACAAGACAAUUCUCUUCUGUUACAUGCACUUGUAAACAGAUGCAUGCCAUGUGUACUUACAUGAUAUUACUUUUGGACAGGGUGAGUGAGUUUUUUUUUUUUUUUUUUGUAGAUGUCUUUGAAUUCUAAGAAGGUCUUUCAGUUCGAUGGGAAUGGGGUUUCAAAUCCAGUAAAUUGCUUUCUGCUCAGAUUAAGUCUCCUUUAAAGGGUCCGCACAACAGGGUGACUUUCCAAUCAUAUGUGGCAGUAGCAUGAUAGUGGCCAUCCCGGGUGGACUCAGAUUGCCUUGUGAGAUAUGAUGUUCUGUGUGUUAUCUGUGGUGUAGUAUGUGAAAUGGAGCUUACACUGUAUACUGCACCAAACAAGCAGUUAUGUCUGUAGAGUCUGGAUGCAGCUCUAUAGUGUAACACUUGAGAUGUUAUUUAAUGGACAAUCUGAAAACACUACAUUUCAAAUGAAAGCAUCCUAUCCUUCCAUGCGCACAUGCAAAUAUGCAGACACGCACACACGCACACACACACAUGCACGCACACACACAUGGACAUGCAUGCACAUGCGCGCGCACACACACACACACACAUAAGAAUUCACACUUCACAGUGAUCUGAACUCCUCACAGAAAGUGACAAGCCAUUAAGCAUUCUGCACACUUGGGUGCUCUCUAGUGUUUAAUUGCCUGAUACAGUGUGUGAUAUUUUUAUCUGUGG